GACGAACGCUGGCGGCGUGCUUAACACAUGCAAGUCGAACGGAAAAACCCUGCUUUUGUGGGGUUCUCGAGUGGCGAACGGGUGAGUAACACGUGUGUAACCUCCCCUUGACUUUGGGAUAACUUCAGGAAACUGGGGCUAAUACAGGAUAGGAGCUCCUGCAGCAUGGUGGGGGAUGGAAAGUUUCGGCUGUUGUGGAUGGACUAGCGGCUUAUCGGCUUGAUGGUGGGGUAGUGGAGUACCAAGGCUUUGACGGGUAGCCGGCCUGAGAGGGUUACCGGCCACAUGAGGACUGCGAUACGGAGCAGACGGGUAUGGGAGGCAACGGUGGGGAGUAUGGCGCAGUGGCGGGAAGCCUGAUGCGGCAACGCCGCGUGCGGGAUGACCGCCUUCGGGUUGUAAACCGCUUUCGACUGUGACGUAGCGUGAGUGACGGUAAUGGGUAAAGAAGCAACGGCUAACUACGUG
rnacentral:rRNA from 1 species